rnacentral:rRNA from 1 species
UACGUAGGGUGCAGGCGUUAAUCGGAAUUACUGGGCGUAAAGCGUGCGCAGGCGGUGAUGUAAGACAGGUGUGAAAUCCCCGGGCUUAACCUGGGAACUGCAUUUGUGACUGCAUUGCUGGAGUGCGGCAGAGGGGGAUGGAAUUCCGCGUGUAGCAGUGAAAUGCGUAGAUAUGCGGAGGAACACCGAUGGCGAAGGCAAUCCCCUGGGCCUGCACUGACGCUCAUGCACGAAGGCGUGGGGAGCAAACAGG